rnacentral:lncRNA from 1 species
UUCCUUUGAAAACAAUUCAUAAAACUCAAUCAUACAUUCAUAAUGGCAUCAUCCACUUAUAUAUUUAUAGAUAGAGUAACAAAUGAUUCUUAAUAUUUCACACCAAGUAUUCAUAUACACAUGAUUAGACCUUGACCAUCAGUGGAGUGACUCUAGAAGGGAGAAAUGACUAUUGAAUGUCAAAGUACUUGCCCAAAAGAUGGGAGUACGCGGACACCUCCAUCUACGUCUAAACCACCUAUGAAUCUGAAAACAUAAAGUUGAAAACGUGAGUAUAAACUCAGUGAGUGAACAUAGGAAGAGAACAAGCAAUUACAAGGAAUGAUUUAGAAAUCAUGAUGCAUUUAAGUUCAAAAAUAGUGCAACCUAGUUCAAGUUCUUAUUAAAAUCCUUCCAUCAUCCUUGGGUUAUUAAAUCAUUUCAUAAUGAAGGAACCAUAUUUAGCAAGAAAUCGAAAAGAGAGGAAAUUUUCAGCAAUCAUCGAAGUAAGGCAGUAUAAACAGAAUGUUCUUGUUGCAAUAACAUCAAUUCACAUGUAAAUGGGAAAGUUUCAAGAUUUAUCAUGCCAUAUAAUCACAUAUUAUAAUCAUAAUCUUUCUAUUGCAUACGCAUAUGCUUAAGCAUAUAUCAAUUAAUAUACCACCACACCUCAUCCAACUCAUGUACAUCAUCACCGACAUGUGCACUGCCCACUCAGGAAAUGCACGGUUCUAAUUAUCACGAUAUCAUCAUUAUCGGCAUGUGCAUUGCCUACUCCGCACAUGCAUGGUUGUAAUUAUCAUGAUAGCAUCAUUACCGGCAUGUGCACUGCCCACUUUGCACAUGCACGGUUGCAUUUAUCACAUAAUGGUACCAUUUAUGACAUAGUAUAUAUAUAUCAUUAUACAAAAACAUAUGAAUUCAUCACACUAUCCAUUUCAUAGCAUAAAAACAUUUCAUAAAGGCUUGUUCCCGUGCAAGUUUUUGAAGAAAAACAAUAAAACGUUUUAGAGGAUUCAAUCAAACAUAAACGUGUAUAUCCCAACACAUUGUAAUGCAAGUUCACUCACUUGGCAACAAUGAGAUUUUAAGUCGCUAUUUGUUCGGAGGUGUCUCUAACAAUUUUCACUGGCCAGUCAUUCGCUAUUUACUCUGGCAUGCCACCACUGUUCUCUAACUUUAUUUUUGCACUUCCUAGCAAUAAUACGAACUCAAUAUAUUUAAUUACAUACGUAUAUGGGCAGCAUUUCAAUCAAUUAAUCCUUACUCAAAUUUAUAUUUUCAUCCUAUCAUGAAACCAUAUUCAAUUAACUCAUAUCUUAAUGCAUUUUUACACAAAUUACUUACAUCCAUUGCUUACAAAAUUCCUUAGAUUAUAUCACCGACAACUUAUUUAUGAUGUCACGUGCCUACUUCAACCUUUCUAAAUAAUUUUCACCCAAAUCCAUCUUAUAUUUCCACACAUAAUCCACAUAUAUGGCAGCAACAAUUAUUCUCACUUUCACUCGAUUAUUUCCUAGUUUACACACAUCGUUAUCUAUCUAACUUUCAAUACUUUGUUUCUCAAUCCUCCAUCCACAAUAUUUCUUUUUUUUAUUUCUUUCAAACAACAUGGUAGACAAUCUUAACAAUUUUCAACUAACUUAUGAUAAUAGAUCCCUUCAACAACCAUAAUUCUAUCACAAUAUUCAACUAACCGUAAGCUUUAAAACAUAGUGUUAAGCUUACCGUUUUCCUUUUCCACUUUGAGUCCUUCAUGUACCCAUGGGUUUAUUGGCUUACAUGUUAACAAUUUUUCUCCAAUCAAGCCAAUCUUUGCUGUCACAAGACAUUUCUCUAAGUCACUAACUCAUUUUCAAAGACUAAUCAAGCCAAAAACAAGAAUUCUUACUGUUCCUUGCUUGAAUCACAAAAACCGAGCUUUUUUUUCCUUUCUCUCUUUUUCUUUCUUCUCCUCCUAGGGUUUAGAUGUGCUGAAAAUUGGGGUUAAAGGCUGUAAAUUUAGUGCUUAAGAAGUCUGGAGAAGAAAGGAAAGCGAAGAAAACUUGAUUUCAUGGUGGAUAAAGAUUAAAUGGCAUGGAAGCUUCAAGAAUGGCAUGGAGCUUGGAGGAAAAGAGGAAAAAAUCUUGCUGGAGGAGAUAAGAACAGUUUUGGGCUGAAAAAAAUCAGAGUCAAAGCUUUCUUUGGAAGCUUUGACCAAACUUCACAUAAAAUUUAACGUUUUGCCCUUUUUGUUUCUUUCUAUUUUAAUUUAGUCCUCCCAACACUCAUUUAACUCCAACUUCCUUCUAUUACCUUCUUCUACACAUGUACAAACAAAGUAUGAAGUUUGUACUCCAACGCGGUGUCCCCAUAAUAUUUAACAUAUUUAUUUGCCCGCGCUAUCUUUACUUAAUAAAGACACACGACCCCAUUAACAUCAUUUUUCUCAAAAAUUCUCUCAUUCUUCUUCUCCCCCCUUAGAUUGACCAUAUACUCAUUCUUCAUUGAAAAUUUUGACACUGAAUAAAAUAUUAAUAUUUUAAUAUUAUUUUAUUCCAAAAAUUUUCUCUUGUCUCCUCUUGUCCCUUUGGUACCCAAAAUACCUUAAUAUGCCUCAAUUGACUUUCGAAUCACUUUUUAUCUCACAAAUUCUUCUCUAAUAAAAAUAUCAUUAUUUUAUUAUUAUUUCUUCAUGUGCGAAAUAUUUUAUCCCAAACUGUUCGUUUCAUCUUUCAUCAUUUGUAAACAUUAUAAUUAACCCCAAUUGAUAUCCAAUAAGCUUUAUUAGUUACCAUAUCAAAGUACGGGGUAUUAUACACUUAAAUAGAAUUCGUCCUCGAAUUCAUGUUGAUGUCAAGUUAUCAAUCUCAUUCCAUGAUCUUAUUCCAUUUCUCCUUUUAUAGGGAAUUUCGAUCUAUUCACCUCGUUUACCUCUAGUUCAACUUGAAUACUUCACUUAUGUCUAUUAUUAUCCUUUAGAAUCAAAUCAGCAGUACCCUUCACAAUCAUAAUCUCUUAUAUUGUGACUCCAAGCAUGCCUCUAUCACUCUCAUUAUAUUUGAACCAUACUCCAUCUCAAUCAUACUGAUUUUCAUCACAUAUUAUACUUACUUAUGUAUACCUAAACACCAUCUUAUUAUUUUGCUCCUUGCCAAACUUCUCGACAUUGAUUCAUUCAUCUUAUCCCCAUACACUAUUAUGUAGCCUACAGCAUUAUAAACAUGCCAUAUUUAUUUAUGUACAUAGUCUCAACGUUGAGAAAGGUUAAUGCCUUCAAUUAUUCUUACAUACUUCAGGUUAAUCUUGCAUUUACACCACAUACUUCAAUUAUUCCCACGCUAUGGAUUGCAUUUCUUUAAUCUCAUUUCUCUGACUAUUUUUCCCAAAAUUUCUUAUAUCAUCAUAGUUUAACUUCUAAUAGGACUUCUUGCCAUUGUACCAUCCAUACAACUCAUCAAAUACAUAAAGUUCAAAUCUCAAAUUAUUGAGAACAAUUCUUCACCUUAGUUGGUCGAGUCAUCAAUUUCACAUAUACAUAUGUACAUGCAUUCAAAAUGUCAACAUUCCUCGUUACACAUAGGGAUCCAUGUGUUCGUGUGCCUUGGACUAGAUUUCCCUUUAUUCAUCCCCAUCCCUAUCCAAGAUUCAAUAUAAUAAUCCUCAUAGUGCAUGUCAACAUUCUUGUUAUGCCAAUGCAUAACUUCAUAUCGUUUAUAUGCUUAUACUCUAUUCUUAUCAUUUCUAAUUAUAUAUUUAAGUUUCAUUGUACUAUAUAUUCUUGACCAUAAUGUCAUUAGUCACAUUUCGCUUACUAAAUAUCAUUUUCAUUAUCUUGCAAUCCAGUAUGCGUAUAUGCUUUAUAACUUCAUUGAUCCUUUAAAGAUUCAUUUUUACUUGAUCAUUGCAUCUUAUGCAAUACCAUAAUCUUUCCAAGUCAUCCCUGUUUCUCAAUUAUCUUUCAUGCUUCUAACAUGUAUAUUAUAUCCUUUUUGCAAUUCGUGACUAAUCAGUCACUUAAGACUUAGAUUUAUUCGAAUCAUGCAUAGCUUAUGCGUUUUCGAAUUCCAAUUCCCAUAAUACAUUAGGAGGUUUUCAUUAUCCGACUUCACUAUCGAGAUUACCUUCAACCAUUCUUUAUACUAUUCUCUUAUACUGAUAUAACAUCAUUCUCCCUUAGUCAAUUCACAAUUUAUACUUGGAAUUGCAAGACUGGAAACAAGGUUCUUCUCAAGCACCUUUCAAAAUGACUGUGAGUACCACUCUCAGCUUACGGCUUCCUUUUUGUACCGACAUAACUUAAUGCUUGCUUUCACAAGAUUCAUAGCAGAACUCCUCUUGAGUAUUUCCUUGGGGAUACUUAUCUUAAACUUAUGUCUCACCGCAUAUGACCACUUCACUCGUGACUUAGCAGUUAGGCUCUUCAGCAAGUUUCAAAAAUCCCACAUUUAAUACUUGUCAUGUAUGAUUAGUAAUUCCUUCUCAAAGAUGUUUGUGCAUUCUUGAAACACUUAGUCUCUUAUUUGCUCCUUAACAUCUCAAGCAUAUCAUUCAAUAGACAUGCACUUAUUCUUAAAGGUAUAUAAAUACGUACUCAUUCAUUCAAUCCCCAACUCAUCCUCAUAGGUUUCUAGGGUUCCACACAAUUGGCCUUGUGUUGUUACUAACCCUUUUCAUUUAGCUGAGUCAAGACAAGAAUUGUAAAUUCUCAUAAUGAUAUUCUAUAUAAACUCGUUUUCUAUACCACCCUUGUAAUCCUUCAUUCACACUUUCAUCACUUGGUAUUGACAUCCCUUGCCCAUCUCUCAUAUAUUCAUCUAACUCUUCACUCAUGUUUUCCUUAACCUUUAACAAGACUUAAUCUCUCAUCUCCUUUAUUUCUUAGGAUUUGACUUUGGGUCAACAUAUUAUUCAUCCUAAUACUUCACAUGGUAUCUUAUCUCAAUGUAAUCAUCUCAAGAAUCUUUCAACCUCUCUUUUAAUUAUAUGCCCAUAUACAAGACAAUAAAGAAACUUUUCAAUUCAUUCAUGUAAACAUUCUUCGGAACAUUUAAGACUCCCAAAUAACAAAGCUUAAUGAUCGAUGAUCAUAUUUUAGCUUGUAAGCUCAUUAUCAUGCCACUCCCAUCUUACUCAUGCAUCUUAGACAUGAGGUGUCCCUACCGCUGCGAUGCUGGACAGUCAGUGCUACAGCGUUGUGGCUGCUAGACAUGGGAUAGUUUCAACAUUGCACCGUUAAACAGUUAGUGUUGUGGCGCUAUGGUUGCUGGAAGUUUCUUCCACAAAUAAGUUCUUCCAUCUUUAAAGUUACUACAGGGAUCAUGCUUAACCAUUUGGCUUUACUCCAGGCCUAUCCUACAAUUUUCAUGACCAUGCGUAUCUUCUCUUUUGCUUAUCAUAUGCACUAAGCCGAGUCAAAAUUUUCAAACUCAAUUUAUUCUUUAACACUUAUCUUCAACCAAUAAGUCCCACCUUAGGAUAAUCUUGCCAUAUCGCAGCAAGUUCUCAAUAUAUAAUAUCACACACAAAAUUAUUCACCAUUUAUGACAUUCCACGAUUCCUUAACAUUCACAAUUAAUUGUCUUUCUUGUCAUGUAACUCAAAUAGUUUUGUUGACUUUUAGUACAAUGACCAUGAAAAUAGUUCAUCUUUCUCCACGCUCUACGUUCACAAUCUUCAUUAAAUCAAGGAUUCACCUUUUCCCAAGUUCCAUAAUUUAACUCCAUUUGCUAUAUUUGUGCCCAACUAUUACCUCAUAAUGUCAUGGCAUCAUUUGUAAUUCCCUCCAUACUUAAAUUUUACAAUCCUUGACUUAAUCACAUCAUCCUUUCUAAGCGUUACAUAUAUCCUCAUUGAUUUCUCCCAUAUCCUUCCAAAUUGUAAUUGCAACUGGGAUUUCAAAUUUCACCUUUCCACGAUUAAUUGGUAAUCCUUUGUCAGGUCUCGUAGUUGUUUGUACCAUUAAUGCCUUUCUACGUCAUCCUUAAUAAUUAUCCAAGGCGACCAACGAUGCCACUAAGGUAAAUAUCCUCCCUCAAUCAUUAUAUUGCUAAUCUAUGCCUAUCGUAUCAAAGGACUCCAAUACGCAUCAAGUCAUUAAAACAACUACUUCAUAAUCCAUUUAACUCAUACAAAAUAAAAACCAACUCUUAACUCCUUUGUACAGAUAACUACUACUAUUUCCCUUACACCACAUUUAUCUAGACUUAAAGUGAUAUGAAAUUUAAUGAAAAUAUUAUGUGUCUUUAGGAUCCUCGUCGCCUCGAUUCAGGCACAUCGACGGAUCCUCUUCCAGGUCCUUUCCCAUAUCUUUGGAUUUUUCCAUUUUGUCUUUAAUCCAAGCUUGUUGCUACCUCCCAAAUUCCUCCUUACUAAUAGGUGUAGCACCUCUCCCACAGCCAGGAAGGAAGUGUCGAACAACAGAUACCGAUACCUUCCUAGGACGAUAUUUACUUAUCGUCCUUUUUCCCAUCUUGUUCGUGUUCUUUUUCAUCAGAUCGAUUUCAUUACGCACCAAUCUUGCGAGACUCCUCAAGCUCUUAAAUAAUGGUUUACCUCUCGGGGAAAUCGAUCCACUCGAAAAUUUGGUCGGGUUACUUGUUACGCUUUCACCCUCGGAACAUAUCGACUCCAAGUAGUGGAAUCUAGCGAUCCCUUGCUAGUACUAUAAGGGGUAUCGGGACUACCAUCUUUUCUAGACAUGGCGUGUGCAACUGGCGCAUCUCUACCUAUACGUAACAAAGUAUUAAUUACUCAUCCAUCUAGACAUCAUAAGAACAAGUAGGUUUCUAAUGAAGUAGGGGCCCAUGUAGCCUCCCGUCCUUGACUUGUAUUGCGCACCCACAAUCCAAGGACAAGACUGUACACAAACUCCAACAACUACACUAACAACACAAGAAUCCCUAGGAUUCAAAUAAACCUAGGGCUCUGAUACCACGUUUGUCACAACCCAAUUGCUGGGCCAUGACCAAUGCAAGGACUCAAUGGGCUCAGCCCACUAAGCCCAAGCAAGCUUACUAAAUUGAUCUUAUACAUUAAUCCUUAUUCAUUUAGAAUCCGAAAUUUGAAAUAUUCAAACACCAUUCCUUUGAAAACAACUCAUAAAACUCAAUCAUACAUUCAUAAUGGCAUCAUCCACUUAUAUAUUUAUAGAUAGAGUAACAAAUGAUUCUUAAUAUUUCACACCAAGUAUUCAUAUACACAUGAUUAGACCUUGACCAUCAGCAGAGUGACUCUGAAUGGGAGAUAUGACUACUGAAUGUCAAAGUACCUGCCCAAAAGAUGGGAGUACGCGGACACCUCAAUCUACGUCUCAACCACCCCUGAAUUUGAAAACAUGAAGUUGAAAAUAUGAGUAUAAACUCAGUGAGUGAACAUAGGAAGGGAACAAGCAAUUACAAGGAAUGAUUUAGAAAUCAUGGUGCACUGAAGUUCGAAAACAAUGCAACCUAGUUCAAGUUCUUAUUAAAAUCCUUCCAUCAACCCCAAGUUAUUAAAUCAUUUCAUAAUGAAGGAACCAUAUUUAGCAAGAAAUCAGAAAGAGAGGAAAUUUCCAGCAAUUAUCCAAGCAAGGCAGUAUAAACAUAAUGUUCUUGUUGCAAUAAAAUCAAUUCACAUGUAAAUGGGAAAUUUUCAAGAUUUAUCAUGCCAUAUAAUCACAUAUUAUAAUCAUAAUCUUUCUAUUGCAUACGCAUAUGCUUAAACAUAUAUCAAUUAAUAUACCACCACACCUCAUCCAGCUUAUGUAUAUCAUCACCGGUAUGUGCACUACCCACUCUGCACAUGCACGAUUGUAAUUAUCACGACAACAUCAUUACUAGCAUGUGCACUGCCCACUCUGCACAUGCACGGUUGUAACUAUCACGACAGCAUCAUUAUCGGCAUGUGCACUGCCCACUCCGUACAUGCACGGUUGCAUUUAUCAUACAAUGAUACCAUUUAUGACAUAGUAUAUAUAUAUAUAUCAUUAUACAGAAACAUAUGAAUUCAUCACACUAUUCAUUUCAUAACAUAAAAACAUUUCAUAAGUGCUUGUUCCCAUGCAAGUUUUAGAAGAAAAACGAAUAAAACGUUUGAGAGGAUUCAAUCAAACAUAAAACGUGUAUAUCCUAAGACAUUUUAAUGCAAGUUCAUUCACUUGGCAACAAUGAGAUUUUAAGUCGCUAUUUGCUUGGAGGUGUCUCUAACUAUUUUCAUUGGCCGGUUGCUUGUUAUUUACUCCAACAUGCCACCACAGUUCUCUAACUUUAUCUUUGCACUUUCUAGCAAUAAUACGAACUUAAUAUAUUUAAUUACAUACGUAUAUGGGCAGGACUUCAGUCAAUUAAUCCUUACUCAAAAUUUUAUUUUCAUCCUAUCAUGAAACCAUCUUCAAUUAACUCACAUCUUAAUGCAUUUUUACCAAAAUUACUUACAUCCAUUGCUUACUAAAUUCCUUAGAUUAUAUCACCGGCAACUUAUUUAUGAUGUCACGUGCCUACUUCAACAUUUCUAAAUAAUUUUCACCCAAAUCCAUCUUAUAUUUCCACACAUAAUCCACAUAUAUGGAAACAACAAUUAUUCUCACUUUCACUCGAUUUUUUCCUAGUUUACACGCAUCGUUAUCUAUCUACCUUUCAAUACUUUAUUUCUCAAUCCUUCAUCCAUAAUAUUCCUUUUUUUAUUUCUUUCAAACAACAUGCCAUACAAUCUUAACAAAUUUUCAACUAGCUUAUGCAAAUAGAUCCUUUCAACAACCAUAAUUCAAUCACAAUAUUCAACUAACAGUAGGCUUUAAAACAUAGUGUUAAGCUUACCAUUUUCCAUUUCCACUUUGAGUCCAUCAUGUACCCAUGGGUUUUGGUAGCUUGCAUGUCACCAAAUCUUGUCCAAUCAAGCCAAUCUUUGCUGCACAAAACAUUUCUCUUAGUCACCAACUCAUUUUCAAAGACUACUCAAGCCAGAAACAAGAAUUCUUACCGUUCCUUGCUUGAAUCACCAAAACCAAGUUUUUUCUUCCUUUCUUUCUUUUUCUUUCUUCUCCUCCUAGGGUUUAGAUGUGCUGGAAAUUGGGGUUAAAGGCUGUAAAUUUAGUGCUCAAGAAGUUUGGAGAAGAAUAGAAAAGAAAACAUGGAAAGGAAAGUGAAGAAAACUUGAUUUCAUGGUGGAUAAAGAGAAAAUGGCAUGGAGCAUGGAGGAGAAAAGGAAAAAAUCUUGCUGGAGGAGAUAAGAAUGAUUUUGGGCUGAAAAAAAUCAGAGUCAAAG